GAUUUCCGCGCAGGAGGCUGCGACGACCUCAUCUAAAAAAUAAAAAAAAUCUCAAAAAGAAAAAACGGCGACGACCAACCGACGGCCCCUUCUCGUCAGCCGCCCCCUGCCGGCCGCCGGCGAACCACGCCAGCCGACCUGAUUAAUAUGCAUGAUGACUGAAGUGUGGCGACUGAUUCCCUUGCGGAUGCUCGAUGUGAAGGCAGAGUAAUCUGUUAUGCUGGAGGAAAAGAAGAAAUGGAAGCAGAAACAGUGAAGUGUGUUGUGGUCGUGUGCCAGCAAAAAUGCCAGGAUACUCAGGGGAUGUCCCUGCUGUGGCAACAUCCUUAGAGGUAAGAAGAAGAAGAAGAAGAAUGGAACACUAGCAGCAGAGUGUAGCAUGGAGACCCUGAAGGUUCCUUCUGUAAACAAGAUAAAGAAAUGGGAGGGUCACUCGUUCUAAACAAAUUAUGAUGGAUGUAAACACAUGUUAACG
rnacentral:rRNA from 1 species